CAUAAUCGCAAACACGAAAAAGUCCGUAGCAAAAAUUUUUAUCAUUGCACAAGACCUGCAAAAUAACUAAUUUCAUGGUACAUAUUUCUGCAGUACAUUCAACUGGUGAAACUCUCCCAUUCAAAAUGUUAAAAUCCUCCCGAUGCCAUAAAAGUUGGAAGGUUAGAAAACUAAUUGGCAUCAGGAUAAAAUGCAUUUUCUCUACAAGUACGAA
rnacentral:misc_RNA from 1 species